GGUUCCGUAGCUCAGAUGGCAGAGCGCAGGCUGACACACCUGUAUGUCCCCGGUUCGAAUCCGGGCGGAGCCA
rnacentral:tRNA from 1 species